AGAUAAUAGAUACCCUGGUAGUCCACGCCGUAAACGAUGGAUGCUAGCUGUUUGAGGUAUCGACCCCUCAUGUAGCGAAGCUAACGCGUUAAGCAUCCCGCCUGUGGAGUACGGUCGCAAGACUAAAACAUAAAGGAAUUGACGGGGACCCGCACAAGCGGUGGAGCGUGUUGUUUAAUUCGACGGUAAGCGAAGAACCUUACCCAGGCUUGACAUCCCUUGAAGCUCUUCGAAAGAAGAGUGUGCUUUUGAACAAGGUGACAGGUGAUGCAUGGCCGUCGUCAGCUCGUGUCGUGAGAUGUUUGGUUAAGUCCAUCAACGAGCGCAACCCUUAUGUUUAGUUGAAUUUCUCUAAACAGACUGCCCUGGUAACAGGGAGGAAGGAGGGGAUGAUGUCAGGUCAGUAUUUCCCUUACGCCUGGGGCUACAAACACGCUACAAU
rnacentral:rRNA from 1 species